UCCCUAGUGGCUCAGUAGUAAAGAAUCUGCCUGCAAUGCAGGAGACCUGGGUUCAAGUCCUAGGUUGGGAA
rnacentral:tRNA from 1 species